AAAGGAUGAAAUAACCAUGCGGUCGUCCACUCGAAACUUGUAUCACCAGGACACUACUCCCUUGGAUCCAGGAGGGUAUUAUACGAGUGGAAAUAUGAGCAUCGUCUCAUCCACCCCCACUGGCUAAAAUGCUACGGCAUUCCCUCUACUCUCUCAUUGUAGGGCUUAAUGUCUUCAAUGUGGGCUUUAUAUCGCGUAUGAGUGUCUACGCACUCUAGCUCGCAUGAGACCGGUGACGUGAAGCGUAAGAUGCGUCGGGGCGUAGACCACCUGGGUAUGAAUUUCUGCGCCUCGUCGAAAUUGGCCAAUCCGUGCACCUUUUGCAGAACCACUUGGCCUUCGGAGAAAUGGUGUUGCUGGGGCCGUUUUGCGUUAUGAAAACGUCUGAGGCGUUCGUGUGCCUUCUCUAGGGCCUCGUUAACGUUAUCCUGUGAGGGAGGGGGUUCGACACCUAUUAACUCCUGGAGGUUCCAACGCAGGCCGAGAGGGCUUUCCAUUUCCCGGUUUAGGAAUAUUGAGGCCGGGGUGUUUUGGGUGGCUUCGUGAAACUGGCUAUUGUGAGCAUGUUGGAAGUAGUGUAUGUAUUUGUCCCAUUCCCUAUGUGAUGGGGCGUAUUGCUUUAGCAAAAUGGUCAGUUUCAUUUUGAGAUCUCUGUUUACUCUUUCGGAGGCGUUAGAAGAAGGUCUAUAUGGGCUAGUGAGGAGGUGUUUUAUCCCCCAUUUGAGGCACAUGUGUUUGAAUUUAACACUAGUGAAACACCUAGCGUUGUCCGUAGAUAGAUAUUUGGGGGGUCCGUAGCGAAGCCAAAUCUUGUUCAGGGUGUCAACGGUUACUGCUGCGGUGACGCGUCUGACGGGUAUAGUCUCCAGCCACUUGCUGAAUCCGUCCAGCAUCACUAGGGUAUAUCGGAACCCAUUCCUGGAAGCCACUAGGGGGCCUACGUGGUCUAUGUAAACACGUUCCCAGGUGUGUUUAGGGACCGUUGAUGCUAGGGGUGCGCCAGAAGCGCGGUUUGAUGGUUUACAGCGUUGACACUCUGGACAGGACCUGACAUAUUUUUGGACGUCCUUAUAGAGACCCGGCCACCAAAAGCGACGGGCGAUUCGACGAUGUGUGACGCAAAUUCCACAAUGACUUGCCGUUACGGAGUCGUGGUAGAAGAACAUUAUCAUGUUUCUGAUGGCUUUGGGGACAGAAAUUCGUCUCAGGCGAUGUUUCCCCACGAGUUUCACCAGGACGUCAGAUUUGAGGGCAUAUCCUGUGACAUCUUCCCCAGAUUCAAUUCUGGAGAUGAUGAGUCUAUGCUCUUCAUCUUCUUCCUGGUGUUUUCGUAGAGAGGCAAAGCUUUGGGGCACCUCGUCCAAAAAGUGGAUUUUAGCGCCAUCAGAGGGUGAUAGGGGGUUAAAUUUAGGGAGGGUCGAAACUUCGGGGGUACCUUGUAUUGUGAAAAGCCUACUCAAGGCGUCGGCCACGGCGUUACGAGUGCCACGAAUGUGCUCUAUGUCAAAUUCGAAACGAGACAGUUUUAAUGCCCAGCGGCCCACACGACCCAAUUGCUUUGGGUGGUUGAAAAUGAAGGACAGAGCGGCGUUAUCGGUUUGAAGCAAGAACUUGGUCCCUAGGAGAUAUUGUUUGAACUUUUCCAGGGCCCAAACGAUAGCGAGGGCUUCCUGUUCGUAAACUGGAUAGUUUUGUUCCGCUGCUGUGAGCUUUCGGCUAGCAUAUUGAAUGGGGUGUAGACCGUCUGGGAAAUGUUGCAUAAGUACGGCCCCGAGCGAGUUCUGGCUCGCGUCCGUCUGGACGAUGAAACGCCUUUUGAAGUUGGGGAAGGCUAGAACGGGGGCUUCUGUUAGGGCUCGCUUGACAUUGGCAAAGGCUUCGAGUUCUCUAUCUCCGAAAUGGAAUUUGACAUCCUUUUUCUUCAGCUGAUUUAGGGGUGCGAUGACCUCGGCGAAGUUUGGAAUGAAGCGAGCGAAAAAGGAUGCCAUACCUAUGAAGGACCUUAACUGUCUGAGGGUUCGGGGUACCCGGAGAUCCGAUAUAAGGGCCACCUUUUCUUUGUCGACUUCGACCCCAGCUGAUGAGAUGACAAAGCCUAGAAAUUUGAUUGACGGCAUGCAUAGUUGCAUCUUUUUUGGCUUAACCGUCAAUCCAGCGUUUCGUAGUCUUUGGAAGACUAUUUCUAGGUGUUCUAGGUGACUUUCGAAGCUGGGGCUGUAGACGAGGAUGUCGUCAAAGUAGGGGAUGACACACUUAUAUCUCAGAUCCGCGAAUAAUCCAAAUAUCAGACGAUUAAGGGCCACCGGGGAGACACUCAGGCCAAACGGGACCUUAACAAAUUCGAAGUGAGCCGUCGGGGUGGAGAAGGCCGUGUAUUUUCUGCUCGAAUCUGAUAGUUUGAUUUGAUAAAAAGCUGAACACAAAUCGAUCGAACUGAAGAAGGCUGCUCCCCCCAGGCAUUGAAAAAUGCUGUCUGCAUUCGGGCUUGGGUAAGCGUCGAAGACAACUUUGGAAUUUAGUUUCCUGUAGUCGAUGCAUAGCCUUGGGGAACCAUCCUUCUUUUUUAUUAAAAAGGCAGGUGAGCAGUACGGGCUUUUGGAUUUUAUUAUGACGCCCUGGUCCAUUAGGCUGUUAAUAUGUUCGUCCAUUUCUUUGGCCUUAGGUGGAGAUAGAGGGAAGGGUGGGCUUCUCACAGGUAUGUCGUCCUUCAUCUGAAUCGAGUAGUCAUAGUCCCGGGCACAGCCAAUUCUGUCCGUUAAAACGUCGUCAAACCCGGCCAUUAGCUCGUUUAAUAGCUUUUGUUGCGGGCGUGAUAGAGUCGGGGACAUGAUGGCAUUACAUUCGCUACCAUACGGUUGGGCUGUAAAUGGGAUGUUACGCAGUGGAUCGAAUCCGAAAACCACCGUGGAAUUGAUGAAAUCCAGUUUGGCUUUCAUCUUGCAAAGCGCGUCCACUCCCAACAUGUAUUAAUUGCACCAUUGGCCAAGGUGACGUUGAAGGUGGAUUUUGUCAAAUGGCCCAGUUUCAGCUUAACUAUGGAGGUAGCGAAUUUUUUGGAACAGAAACUGUCUGUAGCUCCGGAGUCUAAGAGACAAAUGAAGGAAAGAGGCCCCACCUUCACAGUGAUCGUAGGGAUGGAGGUCCUACGAGGUUCGUACGCCAGGAGUUUGCGACGGCCAACUAAGGCGCGAGGGCGUCUUCGAAUGAAGGUGGAUGAAGUUUCGUGUUCCAUUUCCUGAUAGAGGGAUUCUCGGUCACUGAUUUGCCUAAUUUCGCGGGCGACUAGGUCGAGGUCCAUAAAGCUUUGAGGGAUGGCCUUGAAUUUGCAUAGGUCGUAAGUUUUACGGUUCAUGCGAGCCCAGAGCAGCACGAUGACCUCUGAUUCCGACAUGGACGUGCCGAGAAUUUUUGACUUUAGUUUGAUAUCCUCGAUGAACGAUAUAAAUGAUUCCUCUGGCUUUUGCCACCGGUGUAGAUGUUCGGACACUAGAAGAGAGCGGUCGGCUGGACCAAAGAAAUCAUCGAGUAUGCGGCCUCGAAUUACUUCCCAUGAUGGAGCAUAUUUAAUAUUGUGGGCCCACCAUCUCUGGAAGUCACCUUCACAAAAUUGAAUGAGGUGGGUCAUAAGAGGUUUUUCGUGGAGGAUGCCAAGAUCUGAUAAUUUUUCUACGUCCUCCAUGAAUUGAAUGAUACCAGCUUUGGAAAUGCCGUCACACUUCGAAACGUUUUUAAAAAAGGUUCAACUAAACCCUGAGCGUGGGGCGAUUGGGGAAUAUUUCGACUUAGACUACAUAACAACUCACCCAUAUUUAUCAAUUGGUUCUCCAUGGCCUGAAGACGAUGUUGGUUGUCAGCACUAAGUUCGGUUUGGGUUCUUAUAAAGUCAAACACACGUGAUGGAGGCGAUUGAUGUGUCGAAGUUGAUGGAGCUGUUGACGUUGAGAAUGUGGUGGCUGUUGUGGACGUCGAUGUUGAAGGCGCCGUCGUGAAAUCGAGCCAUGGAAGUUGGUUGACUACUGUAGUUGGCGGCGGUGCGACGGGUACUGACAUUGUUGUUGGCGGCGUUGUGAAGCCCGGAGAAGUCACCUCGGGUUGUGGAUUACAGCUGGUGGCGGGUGUGAAUAUGCGUCCGCUCCUGGUGUCCGGCAUGUUAGACUCCGCGAUUGUUCAACGAUUGUAUAUAUAACGCUGAUUGAAAAUUACGCCAUUUACCAUACGCUUUGCUACCAUAAAACGAUUCUCAAUUUGGUUAGAGAAACGAAUAUAUAUAAGAUGUCGCAGUGGAAGUCUUUUUGUUGAUCGGACGGGUUAUGGCGCGCAAUUUCAAGAGAAGAUCUACUAAAUCGAUAUUAGUUAUAUGGAGUUGGCACUACUGUAUUUGGUACAACUUAAGUGUCAAUGGAUUUGAACAAACGACAACACAACUUAAUAUUAAUAUUGGCGAUGGUGAUUCCUGGGAUACAUAUACAUAUGCACAUUCGGUCAAGGGCCGUUUGCCGUUACAGUACGGGCGAGAUGUAUGGAUCUUCGAAUCAAUUGGAUCGUCUUCACCACCACCUGGUGCCGUGAAAUUGAGAGUGGUUGUCCCUUGUCGUUAAUAUGCGGCUAUUGGCCAACACUAAUGGGACAAGGGCCACUCGACGGGUUGAUUAACGGAUGCACCCGGAAUCACCACACACGAAUAUGUCCUUUUUGGCCGAUAAAUUAGUUUGGUAAAGAAAAAAAAAAUCAGAUAAAUGCAGACUUACAUAUUCAUUAACGAAACGGGACCGGGGGCUGAACAACCGGACGGCCAGGAGAGAUUCGCAGCAGCACACAGCGGAUU